rnacentral:rRNA from 1 species
GACGAACGCUGGCGGCGUGCUUAACACAUGCAAGUCGAACGGAGUGGCGAACGUGUGAGUAACACGGGGGUGCUUAGCCUUGCACUCUGGGAUAGGCUGGGGAAACUGGGUCUAAUACCGGAUAGUGCAAGAUACGUUCUCGGCCUAUCGGCUUGUUGGUGGGGUAAUGGCCUACCAAGGCGUCGGCGGGUAGCCGGCCUGAGAGGGUGUACGGCGACCAUGGGACUGCGGUACGGCGCAGUAGGGUAUCGGAGGCAGUAGUGGGGACUAUUGCACAAUGGGCGGGAGCGAGAUGAAGCGGUGCCGCGUUGGUGAUGACGGCUUUCGGGGUGUAAACGCCUGUCGACAUGGACGCGGUACCUGUACAAGAAGCACCGGCUAACUACGUGCCAGCAGCCGCGGUAAUUC